CUUAUCUCCAUCUCACACCCUGGCAAGAUGCCUGGUAGCGGAAAUCUGGGUUAAUUGCAGUGGUUCAGGCCCUGGAGGGUUGGUGCAGACAUGAGAGCCAAGAGCAAAACCCCCUCUGGGCACACCUGGAGCAUCCCCACGAACGAGGGAGGAGGGCAAGACCUGUGGGCUUCGGGCCAACUUCAUUAACUGCGGGGCAAAACCCGACCUGUCUCUGUGGGGUUUGUGGUUUGGCUUCAACUUCUCACUUUGUUCCCAGUUUUUCAGGGCUCUCCAGGUCCUGAAAGUGAUACCAGUGUGGAGAUCCAGGCCAGGAACGAGACGGAUCGAUGCAUCUUCCCAUUCCUGAACUCCCCAUGGAGAGAUUUUUUUGGAGCAACUGGUCCCUUCCACGUCCCAGGAGAACGUCAAGAGUGUCACAGGCAGGCGCCCGUGGUCGGUGUGGGUCGGGUUGAGGUCCCGGCACAAGGAGUGGACGUGGGUGGACGACACCCCCUACGACCCCCACAGGUUUGGGGACCUGCCGGAGCUGGAUGAAGGGUGUGGGACCCUGAAAGGCAGGAACUUGGAUGUUGAUGUCUGUGCCAGUGACCACAAGUGGAUUUGCCAAAAAGCCCCUUUUCAGCUCUCCUCGCCCACGGCAGGAGAUGUUGGGAAGCUGGAUGAUGCCUCCACCUGACACACUCGGGCAACGGACCCCGUGUGGUAUAACAAAAUCAUUUAUUACAGUUCUUUCAUGGUUUAUCCACCCCGUUACAUCAGCAGUAAAUUCCAGUCAGUAGCUUUUCUCUAUAUCCACUUUUUAGUUAAGCAUUCUCUGCCCAGGAGAAAAAUACUCCCAAGCAAUUUCAGGCACACACGGAUACAUCUCACCACGUCUGUAUUCAGAUUGCCAAGUUCCCCUUAAAUUUCUCCCUGGGUCAUAUAAUCUCAGUCCCUACAGUUAAGCGUUAUUUUUAUGCUUUUACAUUACUAUAGAUAACAAUAAGCCAAGCGGCUCCAUCCCUGCUUUCCUUUGCAACCAAA